rnacentral:rRNA from 1 species
GUCGAACGAGCGAGAGAGAGCUUGCUUUCUCGAGCGAGUGGCGAACGGGUGAGUAACGCGUGAGGAACCUGCCUCAAAGAGGGGGACAACAGUUGGAAACGACUGCUAAUACCGCAUAAGCCCACGGCUCGGCAUCGAGCAGGGGGAAAAGGAGCAAUCCGCUUUGAGAUGGCCUCGCGUCCGAUUAGCUAGUUGGUGAGGUAAUGGCCCACCAAGGCGACGAUCGGUAGCCGGACUGAGAGGUUGAACGGCCACAUUGGGACUGAGACACGGCCCAGACUCCUACGGGAGGCAGCAGUGGGGAAUAUUGCACAAUGGGGGAAACCCUGAUGCAGCGACGCCGCGUGGAGGAAGAAGGUCUUCGGAUUGUAAACUCCUGUUGUUGGGGAAGAUAAUGACGGUACCCAACAAGGAAGUGACGGCUAACUACGUGCCAGCAGCCGCGGUAAAACGUAGGUCACAAGCGUUGUCCGAAAUUACUGGGUGUAAAGGGAGCGCAGGCGGGAAGACAAGUUGGAAGUGAAAUCUAUGGGCUCAACCCAUAAACUGCUUUCAAAACUGUUUUUCUUGAGUAGUGCAGAGGUAGGCGGAAUUCCCGGUGUAGCGGUGGAAUGCGUAGAUAUCGGGAGGAACACCAGUGGCGAAGGCGGCCUACUGGGCACCAACUGACGCUGAGGCUCGAAAGUGUGGGUA